rnacentral:misc_RNA from 1 species
UUAUGCCUUAUAACAGUGAUGUGUUGGUGAAGUAAAAUAAAAUGAAAUGUUAAAUGAGAUAAAAUGCUAAAUGAGAUCGUGGAUGCGAUACUCCCAAUAAACUGUGCAAGGACACUGAAGAGUAAACUAGGACAUGAAAAUAAGACAAAUUUCAAAAGAAGACAAACAAAUGAGAGAUACAAUACGAAAUAUGAAAUUAAUAAAGAACCUUACAAAUUUAUGGACGAUGUUCAAACACACGAAAUUAAAAGAACGACAAGAAGUAAAGCAAUGAAAAUAGAAAUUCCAUGUUUGUUAGGUCUUCUCGUUUUUUAUGUGUGUAUAGCGAAUGUUAUUAUUAAGUGUGAUGCAAGUGUUGAUGACAAAGCUUUGAGAGAUGAAAGAAAUAUACAUGGAAUGUAUAUGCACAACAAGGGAUCACCAAAAUAUUGGCAUGGUCAUAGAAACGGGGGUAAGUUAUUUGGUAAAAAUCACCACAAAAGAGCUUCGGUCCCUGACGAUGAAGACAAAGAAACUUACUCAGACCUUGAUGAAGAUGAUAAACGUUAUAAUUACUAUAGCCGUAAACACCCAAUUCCAAAUUUUAUUGGGAACGAGAGCUAUGUUAUUGGUCAUCCGCAUGAUUUAGUAUCAAACCCCUACUAUGUACAAGAUGUAAACUUUAAACUAAGACCUGAUAUGAGUCAGUUCAGCGAGAAAAUACUCAAAUUAGGAGUUCUCUUGCCAACGAGUCCAAAACUUUCGGAAUUUUCAAUGGCCAAAGUUCUACCGAUUUUGGAAAUUGCUAUCCGCGCCGUAACAAAACCUGAUGGCCCUCUACCGGGAUGGAAGAUUCUAGUAGACUACCGGGACACAAGAUGCUCUUCUAUAGACGGACCACUAGCCGCUUUUGAAUUCUACGUAAAUGGUUCUGCAGAUGCCUUCAUCGGGCCGGGUUGUGAGUACGUGAUAGCACCCGUUGCGAGGUACGCCGGGGCUUGGGGCAUACCUGUGCUGACUGCGGGGGCUAUGGCUGACUCAUUCAUCCACAAAAGUAGUUACUACACGUCGCUUACCAGAAUGAUGGGCAGCUAUACUCAGGCCAGUAUCGCCAUCAGCAAAAUUUUCGAGGAGUUUAACUGGCACCGAGUUGGCAUGUUAUACCACAACAAUGACGUGUCGACCGCCGCCGGAAAUAGCCGGUGCUUCCACACUCUGAGUCCGGUGUUCUCGAUACUGCAGAAACGGUCCGGCGCAGACAUCCGGAACCAUAUGUUUGACGAGAACAACACGACAUCUACGAGAUUUAAACAGCUUUUGCAGAAGCUGUCUUUGACCACUAGAAUCGUGGUGUUGUGCGCGAACCCCGGCACGGUGCGUGAGAUCAUGCUGGCUGCUGACGAGCUCAACAUGGUGUCUUCGGGAGAAUACGUGUUCUUCAACGUGGAGCUGUUCUCCAAUUUGGCAUCAGCGUCGUCUAAGCAGCCAUGGAAGGUGGAAGGAGACACAGAUGAACGCAACGAGCAAGCACGGCGAGCAUACAGCGCAGUGCUUACUGUCACUAGUCCAGCUCCUGAAAAUGAAGAGUACUUGGAAUUUUCUGAUCAAGUGAAAGAGCUGGCUGCGAAAAAAUACAACUACACAUUUGGUAAAGACGAAGUGGUGUCUACGUUCGUCGCCGCCUUCUACGAUGCUGUGCUGCUCUACGCUUUGGCGUUAAACGAUACCUUGAAGCAGUCUCCUGAGCCUAGGGGCCGACUGGAUGGGAAGGCGGUCAUCAAUAAUAUGUGGAAUAGGAGUUUUCAAGGUAUAACUGGCGACGUUAUAAUAGACAGCAAUGGCGACCGUGUGGCUUCGUACUCACUUCUGGACAUGGACCCGAAUACCAGCAAAUUUCAGGUAGUGGCGACGUACGUGGCGGCGAACAAGUCCUUACAGUUUCACCCAGACCGGCCUAUUCACUGGGCGGGUGGGGGAACUGAGCCUCCCCGUGACACCCCCAUUUGUGGUUUCGACGGUUCUCUGUGCCCUGACAAGUCGCUUCCCGUAUACGCCAUUCUCAGUAUCGUCCUCAGUUCCGUGGUGGUGAUACUGGCCAUCCUAUCAGUAUUUAUCUACAGACACUACAAGUUGGAAGCCGAGAUAGCCAUGAUGACGUGGCGGGUGAACUGGAGCGACGUACUUCAGCCAGGAGCGAGGCUGCGUGGGAGCAUGCACUCGCUGGCACGAAGGUACAGCAGUGGGACGGCGUACUCGGACGAGGCGACUUCAUUGGCCGGCGACCGACAGAUCUACGCUCCUUGUGGGAUAUAUAAAAGCUGCAGGGUGGUGCUCAAAAAAGUUGACAAACAGCGUAUCGAUUUAACACGACCUUUACUCCUCGAGUUGAAGAAAAUGAAGGAUUUAGAACAUGAUCAUUUAGCAAGAUUCUACGGUGCGUGCGUGGAUCCACCCCAUUGUUGUCUGUUGACCGAAUAUUGUCCCAAAGGGUCUUUACAGGACAUUUUGGAGAAUGACACGAUCAAAUUGGAUUGGAUGUUCAAAGUCAGCUUAAUGCAUGACAUCGUUCGGGGCAUGCACUUCCUCCACGGCACCGACAUAAGGUCUCACGGCAACCUCAAGUCCAGCAACUGCGUCGUGGACUCCCGCUUUGUACUGAAGAUCACCGACUUUGGUCUACACGCUCUCCGGACCAACGAGAAGGAUCCAUCAGCUCACAGCUAUUGGACCCGGAUGCUAUGGACGGCUCCUGAACUGCUACGAAUGGAGGACCCACCACCAGAAGGCACGCAGAAAGGGGACAUAUACUCUUUCGGAAUUAUCAUGCACGAAAUCGUGAACCGGCAGGGCGCGUUUUGGCUAGGACCCGGCAUAGAAAUGGGUCCAAAAGACAUAAUAGAAGCCGUGAAAGCGACAGGCCUUCGUCCGAACACGUCACACCACCGCUCGUGUGACAUCGACGAUGCACACGACCUCAUGCGCCGAUGCUGGGCCGAGGACCCGAACGAACGCCCCCCCUUCGCCCAGCUGAAGGGCGCAGUCCGUCGCCUCAACAAAUCCCAAGAAAGUAGUAAUAUAUUGGAUAACCUGCUAUCCCGUAUGGAGCAGUACGCUAAUAAUUUAGAAACAUUAGUUAGUGAAAGAACGCAAGAUUAUUUGGAAGAAAAGAAGAAGUGCGAAGAACUUUUAUAUCAGUUGUUACCAAAGUCAGUAGCCUCUCAACUGAUAAACGGGCAGUCGGUGGUCGCGGAGACGUUCGAGCAGGUCACCAUCUACUUCUCGGACAUCGUGGGGUUCACCGCGCUCUCCGCCUCCUCCACGCCGAUGGAGGUGGUCGACUUGCUCAACGACCUGUACACCUGCUUCGACAGUAUUGUCGAGAAUUAUGACGUUUAUAAGGUGGAGACCAUAGGUGACGCUUACAUGGUGGUGUCCGGUCUGCCCGAGCGCAACGGGACGCGGCAUGCCUGCGAGGUGGCCCGUAUGGCUCUGGCCUUGCUCAAUGCCGUGCGUCGGUUCCGCAUCAGACACAGACCGCAUGACCAGUUGAAGCUGAGGAUAGGACUGCAUUCUGGUCCCUGCGUCGCUGGCGUGGUAGGCCUCAAGAUGCCUCGCUACUGCCUCUUCGGAGACACAGUGAACACGGCCUCCCGAAUGGAGUCCAACGGUGAAGCCCUACGGAUCCACGUCUCACCGACCACGAAGGCUCUGCUAGAUACCUUCGGGACUUUCCAGCUGGAGCUGAGAGGAGAAGUUGCUAUGAAGACUAGCCGAGUCGAAGACGUGGCCUACGAUGGAUGGCUACUUAAUGCAUGAUGAUGGGAGGAUCAGAAACGCUUGGUCUCGUUUCCCUUCUUGGAGCAUACAUCCCUGGACAUUGAUAUUACGUAACUAUACGGUAUUAGACCGGGAAAAGGAACUCUAGUCACAUAUUGGUUGUUGGGAGAAAAAGUCGACCCAAAUGCGCCCCCCAGAGAAAAAUCAUCGCUGCCAAAGCUACAAACUCAAUCCACCGAGAGCGGAGGGUCAAUUUCACAUCUAAC